CGGCAUUAAGUGCUUGCACUUUUUGGACGUCGACCGGCGCACGGGUGAGUAACGCGUAUCCAACCUUCCCAUGACUAAGGGAUAACCUGCCGAAAGGCAGACUAAUACCUUAUGGUCUUCACUGACGGCAUCAGAUGUGAAGUAAAGAUUUAUCGGUUAUGGAUGGGGAUGCGUCUGAUUAGCUUGUUGGCGGGGUAACGGCCCACCAAGGCNACGAUCAGUAGGGGUUCUGAGAGGAAGGUCCCCCACAUUGGAACUGAGACACGGUCCAAACUCCUACGGGAGGCAGCAGUGAGGAAUAUUGGUCAAUGGGCGAGAGCCUGAACCAGCCAAGUAGCGUGCAGGAUGACGGCCCUAUGGGUUGUAAACUGCUUUUGUAUGGGGAUAAAGUCANUCACGUGUGAUUGUUUGCAGGUACCAUACGAAUAAGGACCGGCUAAUUCCGUGCCAGCAGCCGCGGUAAUACGGAAGGUCCGGGCGUUAUCCGGAUUUAUUGGGUUUAAAGGGAGCGUAGGCUGGAGAUUAAGUGUGUUGUGAAAUGUAGACGCUCAACGUCUGACUUGCAGCGCAUACUGGUUUCCUUGAGUACGCACAACGUUGGCGGAAUUCGUCGUGUAGCGGUGAAAUGCUUAGAUAUGACGAAGAACUCCGAUUGCGAAGGCAGCUGACGGGAGCGCAACUGACGCUGAAGCUCGAAGGUGCGGGUAUCGAACAGGAUUAGAUACCCUGGUAGUCCGCACAGUAAACGAUGGAUGCCCGCUGUUGGUACUUGGUAUCAGCGGCUAAGCGAAAGCAUUAAGCAUCCCACCUGGGGAGUACGCCGGCAACGGUGAAACUCAAAGGAAUUGACGGGGGCCCGCACAAGCGGAGGAACAUGUGGUUUAAUUCGAUGAUACGCGAGGAACCUUACCCGGGCUUGAAUUGCAGAGGAAGGAUUUAGAGAUAAUGACGCCCUUCGGGGUCUCUGUGAAGGUGCUGCAUGGUUGUCGUCAGCUCGUGCCGUGAGGUGUCGGCUUAAGUGCCAUAACGAGCGCAACCCCUGUCUUUAGUUGCCAUCAGGUUAAGCUGGGCACUCUGGAGAUACUGCCACCGUAAGGUGUGAGGAAGGUGGGGAUGACGUCAAAUCAGCACGGCCCUUACGUCCGGGGCUACACACGUGUUACAAUGGCCGGUACAGAGGGACGGUGUAAUGUAAAUUGCAUC
rnacentral:rRNA from 1 species